AGCAACUUGACGCAGUGGAAGCGUGCAGGGCUCAUAUUCAUGGAAACCCUGAAGUCCCUAGAUCGAAACUAGGAGUUGCUA
rnacentral:tRNA from 2 species